UACAGAGGAGCCAAGCGUUGUCCGGAUUGACUGGGCGUAAAGCGCACGCAGGCGGAUGCGCGCGUGGGGUGUGAAAUCUGGCCGCUUAACGGCCAGGCGCCAUCCCAUACGGCGCGUCUGGAGCUAUGCAGAGGUCGGUGGAAUUGCCGGUGUAGUGGUGAAAUGCGUAGAGAUCGGCAGGAACACCCAGGGGGAAACCAGUCGACUGGGCAUCUACUGACGCUGAGGUGCGAGAGCGUGGGGAGCGAUCCGG
rnacentral:rRNA from 1 species